GACGAACGCUGGCGGCGUGCUUAACACAUGCAAGUCGAACGGAAAGGCCCUGCUUGCAGGGUACUCGAGUGGCGAACGGGUGAGUAACACGUGGGUGAUCUGCCCUGCACUUCGGGAUAAGCCUGGGAAACUGGGUCUAAUACCGGAUAGGAGCCAUUUUUAGUGUGAUGGUUGGAAAGUUUUUUCGGUGUAGGAUGAGCUCGCGGCCUAUCAGCUUGUUGGUGGGGUAAUGGCCUACCAAGGCGGCGACGGGUAGCCGGCCUGGGAGGGUGGACGGCCACAUUGGGGCUGAGAUACGGGCCAGACUCCUACGGGAGGCAGCAGUGGGGAAUAUUGCACAAUGGGCGCAAGCCUGAUGCAGCGACGCCGCGUGGGGGAUGACGGCCUUCGGGUUGUAAACUCCUUUCGCUAGGGACGAAGCUUUUUGUGACGGUACCUAGAGAAGAAGCACCGGCUAACUACGUG
rnacentral:rRNA from 1 species